GAUGUCGACUUGGAGGUUGUGCCCUUGAGGCGUGGCUUCCGGAGCUAACGCGUUAAGUCGACCGCCUGGGGAGUACGGCCGCAAGGUUAAAACUCAAAUGAAUUGACGGGGGCCCGCACAAGCGGUGGAGCAUGUGGUUUAAUUCGAUGCAACGCGAAGAACCUUACCUGGUCUUGACAUCCACAGAACUUUCCAGAGAUGGAUUGGUGCCUUCGGGAACUGUGAGACAGGUGCUGCAUGGCUGUCGUCAGCUCGUGUUGUGAAAUGUUGGGUUAAGUCCCGCAACGAGCGCAACCCUUAUCCUUUGUUGCCAGCGGUCCGGCCGGGAACUCAAAGGAGACUGCCAGUGAUAAACUGGAGGAAGGUGGGGAUGACGUCAAGUCAUCAUGGCCCUUACGACCAGGGCUACACACGUGCUACAAUGGCGCAUACAAAGAGAAGCGACCUCGCGAGAGCAAGCGGACCUCAUAAAGUGCGUCGUAGUCCGGAUUGGAGUCUGCAACUCGACUCCAUGAAGUCGGAAUCGCUAGUAAUCGUGGAUCAGAAUGCCACGGUGAAUACGUUCCCGGG
rnacentral:rRNA from 1 species